UACGUAGGGGGCAAGCGUUAUCCGGAAUUACUGGGUGUAAAGGGAGCGUAGACGGUAAUGUAAGUCUGGAGUGAAAGGCGGGGGCCCAACCCCCGGACUGCUCUGGAAACUAUGUUACUAGAGUGCAGGAGAGGUAAGCGGAAUUCCUAGUGUAGCGGUGAAAUGCGUAGAUAUUAGGAGGAACACCAGUGGCGAAGGCGGCUUACUGGACUGUAACUGACGCUGAGGCUCGAAAGCGUGGGGAGCAAACAGG
rnacentral:rRNA from 1 species